CUAAUGAUCGUCGCUGACGGUGCCUCCGCAAGGAGGUGAAAAGGGAACGCGGUGCGGGCUUGCCUGCCCAAUGCCGCGGCUGCCCCCGCAACUGUAAGCGGGUGUCCCUCGCCAUCGGCCACUGGAGUUCGCUCCGGGAAGGCGGUGGGGGAUGUCGAACCCGUGAGCCAGGAGACCUGCCGUCGACCCGCAGAGAUCC
rnacentral:ncRNA from 1 species